ACGAGAAAAGGGGGUAAGAAACUGGACUAUUUGUCUUAAAGAAUUUGACAUUCUGGAUCUUGUGGUUGCUGGCAGCAUCUUUCUGAAAUGUCAAUGUCAC